UACAGAGGUCCCAAGCGUUGUUCGGAUUCAUUGGGCGUAAAGGGUGCGUAGGUGGCGCCGUAAGUCAGGUGUGAAAUUUCGGAGCUUAACUCCGAAACUGCAUUUGAUACUGCGGUGCUUGAGGACUGGAGAGGAGACUGGAAUUUACGGUGUAGCAGUGAAAUGCGUAGAGAUCGUAAGGAGGACCAGUGGCGAAGGCGGGUCUCUGGACAGUUCCUGACACUGAGGCACGAAGGCCAGGGGAGCAAACGGG
rnacentral:rRNA from 1 species